rnacentral:tRNA from 1 species
GCCCGGCUGGUUCAGUCGGAAGAGCAUGUGACUCUUGAUCUCGGGGUCAUGAGUUCGAGCCCCAUGUUGGGUG